rnacentral:rRNA from 1 species
ACGCUACGGCGGGCUUACCACAUGCAGUCGAGGGGCACAUGAGGUCUAUAUUUUUAGAUUUCGAUGGCGACCGGCGAACGGGUGCGUAACACGUACGUAACUUACCUUUUGCUAGAAAAUAGCCUGAGGAAACUUGGAUUAAUAUUCUAUAACAUAGUAUUAUUGCAUGAUAAUAUUAUUAAAGCAGAUAUGCGGCAAAAGAUAGGCGUGCGUCUGAUUAGUUAGUUGGUAGGGUAAAAGCCUACAAAGACAAUGAUCGGUAGGGGGCCUGAGAGGGUGAUCCCCCACACUGGUACUGAGAUACGGACCAGACUCCUACGGGAGGCAGCAGUGAGGAAUAUUGGUCAAUGGAGGAAACUCUGAACCAGCCACGCCGCGUGCAGGAAGAAGGCCCUAUGGGUUGUAAACUGCUUUUGUAUAGGAAUAAAAAUUCUUACGAGAUAAGAAUCAUGAAGGUACUAUACGAAUAAGUGUCGGCAAACUCCGUGCCAGCAGCCGCGGUAAUACGGAGGACACAAAGCGUUAUCCGGAUUUAUUGGGUUUAAAGGGUGCGUAGGCGGUU